rnacentral:rRNA from 1 species
GUGUAGCAUGUGGCUUAAUUUGACUCAACGCGGGAAAUCUUACCGGGUCCGGACACACUGAGGAUUGACAGGUAACAUCACACGUAUUCGUACGUGUGUAUAAAUAUGCUAGUCCUUUCAUGAUUAUGUGAUAGGUGGUGCAUGGCCGUUCUUAGUUCGUGGAGUGAUCUGUCUGCUUAAUUGCGUUUCACUAUUGGAUCUAUAUACCGUGCAUGUGUUGCGGCAUUGACCCCUCAAUUACUCUCACGUAUUUGAGUGCGCGUCUUUCGCUUAGCUCACUGCGCUUUAGAUCCUGAAAGCAACGAACGUGACCG